rnacentral:rRNA from 1 species
CCAGACUCCUACGGGAGGCAGCAGUGGGGGAUAUUGGACAAUGGGGGAAACCCUGAUCCAGCGAUGCCGCGUGAGGGAAGAAGGUUUUCGGAUUGUAAACCUCUGUGGACAGGGACGAUAAUGACGGUACCUGUCAAGAAAGCCACGGCUAACUACGUGCCAGCAGCCGCGGUAAUACGUAGGUGGCGAGCGUUGUCCGGAAUUACUGGGUGUAAAGGGAGUGUAGGCGGGAAGGCAAGUCAGAAGUGAAAUCUGGGGGCUUAACCCCCAAACUGCUUUUGAAACUGCGGGUCUUGAGUGAUGGAGAGGCAGGCGGAAUUCCCAGUGUAGCGGUGAAAUGCGUAGAUAUUGGGAGGAACACCAGUGGCGAAGGCGGCCUGCUGGACAUUAACUGACGCUGAGGCGCGAAAGCGUGGGGAGCAAACAGGAUUAGAUACCCGAGUAU